ACGAACGCUGGCGGCGUGCUUCACACCUGCCAGUCGAACGGAAAGGCCCUGCUUUUGUGGGGUGCUCGCGUGGCGAACGGGUGAGUAACACGUGAGUAACCUGCCCUUGACUUUGGGAUAACUUCAGGAAACUGGGGCUAAUACCGGAUAGGAGCUCCUGCUGCAUGGUGGGGGUUGGAAAGUUUCGGCGGUUGGGGAUGGACUCGCGGCUUAUCAGCUUGUUGGUGGGGUAGUGGCUUACCAAGGCUUUGACGGGUAGCCGGCCUGAGAGGGUGACCGGCCACAUUGGGACUGAGAUACGGCCCAGACUCCUACGGGAGGCAGCAGUGGGGAAUAUUGCACAAUGGGCGGAAGCCUGAUGCAGCAACGCCGCGUGCGGGAUGACGGCCUUCGGGUUGUAAACCGCUUUCGCCUGUGACGAAGCGUGAGUGACGGUAAUGGGUAAAGAAGCACCGGCUAACUACGUG
rnacentral:rRNA from 1 species